CGCAGAGCGGGGGACAGACAGACGAGCAACUAACAUAAUACAUUAUUUCUGAUUUCUGCGCAUAAAAAUGAGCACGGGAGGGGAGUGAUUCUUAUCGGGACAGGACAGGAAUGUUAUAGAACUGUUGCAGGAUCAGGACAAUACGGGGAAAAACUGACAGGACAAGACAAGACAUGACUUGAUUUUCACUCCCGUGUCAACUUCUAGCAGGGAUGGAGGGAGAGGGCGAGAGAGAAGAAAAUGGGAGGGGAGAGAGAAGGAAAGAGAGAGAGGGAAGGUAAUAUUAUGUUAUUACAGUGUUACUGUGCUAUGAUGUAUUAUUAUUGCGUGAUGGGGAUAGACAACCCACCCCUGUCUCUGACUUUAAUCUUUUGGAAACAGGUUCCGCUCAGGUAAGCCCAACCAUAAAUGAUCCGCGUUAUCAUCAUACUGCAAGCCCGCAACAGUUAGAACACAAGGAGUUACUGAACAUCAGUUCACAUACAAGAUAUUACUGGACUGUCACAAUCGUCAUGGGAAGAAGUGGACCAAAGCGCAGCGUGGUACGUGUUCAUUCUAUUUAUUUAUUUAAUGAACACCGACAACAACAAAACAAAUACGAACGUGACGUUCUGCAGGGCAAAAUAACAACCAAUGCAGAAAUAAGAUCCCACAAAUGAAAGAGGGGAAAAGGACUGCCUAAGUAUGAUUCCCAAUCAGAGACAACGAUAGACAGCUGUUCCUGAUUGAGAAUCAUUCCCGGCCAAAACAAAGAAAUAGAAAGCAUAGACUUCCCACCCGAGUCACACCCUGACCUUACAAACAUAGAGAAAAAAGGAUCUCUAAGGUCAGGGCGUGACACGGACAAGGCCAAAAGUUAUUUUGGUUGUGGCCAGGGCAUACGUUUUAGACUUGGCAUCAGAUUCAUAAUCAUCAGCUUUUUUUUUUUUUGCCAGCUUGCACACAAUCAAGUAAAAGGUUAUGGGUUGUUGUUCUGCUAGACUAUAUCCUAUCUGUUGAUGGUGUUAAUAUCUGUUGAAUGUUAAUUAGGGGUAUUUGUUACCACAUCCUGUAAAACAGCAUGUCUCUAACAAAACCGCACAAGCUAAAUGUUUGUUCAUGUUCGCUAAUCUCCCCAUCUGAAAAGCUCUAUGUGAUAGUCAUCAACAUCUUCCCUCUUUUGUUAACACACCGCAGUAAGUGUUACAUCAUCUCUGCAGAGUGAGAUAACAGUCGUAAACUGCAAUUUAAAAAAAAUCUUAGUUAGAUUUUUAGCUAGAUAUCUCUUACCAUUAGAAUGCAUUGACUUAUCUUACUAAGGUAAAUUAUCUUAGUGCUCUGGCAGAUAAUAUUGCUUUGUUUAAGAUACACUAUCUUCAAGUUAUUUGAUCUUAAUAAGACAUCUUACCAAGACAAAUGAUCUUAGUGCACUGGCAGCUCAUUUUUCCUACUUUAACCUAAACAAGGCUCGAAACAAGUCAGAAUAUUUUAAAACAAUAAAAAUAAUCUAGAUGCAUAUUCUGGAUUAGCUAAGUCAACUCAAAACAAGUAAAUGCAUUUUCUUGGUGAGUGGGAUCAACUCAAAAAAGCAAUUAUUUUACAAUACAAAAAAAAUCUAGGUAACAUUUACAUUGUUUGCAGUGUACGGAGAGUGUUUGUUCAACACAAACACUUAUGCACAUAUAGCAUAGGCCAGCUUCACAUCUAUUAGCUGGUAAUGACAGUGUUCACUCUGAGCUGCCAACAUGACAUUAGGAAAAUGACAUGACUUUGACUUAAAGUAACAAGUCAAGUAAUGUAAGGACCUCAAUGACCUAUUGGCUGGUCUGCCACUUUUGAGUUUCCAAUCUGAUAUUUAUAUGACAUGCAUAAUAGUAUUUCAUUACGAAGGUAAUAAUAACUUAGAGAAAGAGUUUACAUGUUAGGGCCCAUUGAACAAAUGAAAUUCAAUGACUUGGAACAGAAUGACAGUAAGAACUAGGAUUUGAUUUGAAUCUCCCACACAACAGUUAUUGCUGUUUCAUAGAGUUUAGAGGCUGUGUUGUACUCUGUGGUCAUGUGACAGGCACGAGGGGAAACAGGCGUCACCCCUGUGUGGGAGAUUGUCAGAAAGAGAGAUGUACAGAGGAGAAAGGGGGACAGAGGGAAGGAUUAUUUAGUUGAUUUAGGGGCUUGUUACAGUAGAGUAACGUCAGUAAAGGGAUGAAAGGUGUAGAUCAGGACAGAGACAGACAGGUUUUAUGAGAGCAGAGAGAUCAAGUCAGAUUUAGAGUUUGGGGUACCGAGGCAAGGCAUGACAAACCGUACAGUUAUAACACAUUGAGACGAGGAGACCGAAUUGAACACUACUAGAGGCCACUUUGGGGUUCAGGGAUAAGGGUAUAGGGACCAGGGGGAGAGUUUAGGGUUUAUUUUAGUUUUUUGGGGGGUGGGGACAGGUG
rnacentral:lncRNA from 13 species